rnacentral:rRNA from 1 species
CCUACGGGAGGCAGCAGUGAGGAAUAUUGGUCAAUGGGCGCGAGCCUGAACCAGCCAAGUAGCGUGAAGGAUGACUGCCCUACGGGUUGUAAACUUCUUUUAUAAAGGAAUAAAGUGAGGCACGUGUGCUUUUUUGUAUGUACUUUAUGAAUAAGGAUCGGCUAACUACGUGCCAGCAGCCGCGGUAAUACGGAGGAUUCGAGCGUUAUCCGGAUUUAUUGGGUUUAAAGGGAGCGUAGAUGGGUUGUUAAGUCAGUUGUGAAAGUUUGCGGCUCAACCGUAGAAUUGCAAUUGAUACUGGCAGCCUUGAGUACAGUAGAGGUAGGCGGAAUUCGUGGUGUAGCGGUGAAAUGCUCAGAUAUCACGAAGAACUCCGAUUGCGAAGGCAGCUUACUAAACUGCCACUGACGUUGAUGCUCGAAAGUGUGGGUAUCAAACAGGAUUAGAUACCCCAGUAGUC